rnacentral:rRNA from 1 species
AGACUUUGAUUCUGGCUCGGAACGAACGCUGGCGGCAGGCCUAACACAUGCAAGUCGAGCGCGCCCUUCGGGGUGAGCGGCGGACGGGUGAGUAACGCGUGGGAACGUGCCCUCUUCUGCGGAAUAGCCACUGGAAACGGUGAGUAAUACCGCAUACGCCCUUUUGGGGAAAGAUUUAUCGGAGGAGGAUCGGCCCGCGUUGGAUUAGGUAGUUGGUGGGGUAAUGGCCUACCAAGCCGACGAUCCAUAGCUGGUUUUAGAGGAUGAUCAGCCACACUGGGACUGAGACACGGCCCAGACUCCUACGGGAGGCAGCAGUGGGGAAUCUUAGACAAUGGGCGCAAGCCUGAUCUAGCCAUGCCGCGUGAGUGACGAAGGCCCUAGGGUCGUAAAGCUCUUUCGCCUGUGAUGAUAAUGACAGUAGCAGGUAAAGAAACCCCGGCUAACUCCGUGCCAGCAGCCGCGGUAAUACGGAGGGGGUUAGCGUUGUUCGGAAUUACUGGGCGUAAAGCGCGCGUACGGCGGAUUGGAAAGUUGGGGGUGAAAUCCCGGGGCUCAACCCCGGAACUGCCUCCAAAACUUCCAGUCUGGAGUUCGAGAGAGGUGAGUGGAAUUCCGAGUGUAGAGGUGAAAUUCGUAGAUAUUCGGAGGAACACCAGUGGCGAAGGCGGCUCACUGGCUUCGAUACCUGACGCUGAGGUGCGAACA